rnacentral:lncRNA from 1 species
AAAUACAUCAAAUGAAGAAUAAGAAAAAAGGCGAUAAGAGUGGCUUAAUUAACAACAUUCGUAGCCACUGAAAGAAAGCAACGUUAGUUUCGCAGCCACAUAUAGUCGUCGUGGAUGUGGUCGGCGUCGAACAUAGCAACGUUAGUUUCGCAGCCACAUAUAGUCGUCGUGGAUGUGGUCGGCGUCGAACAUCGAAAAAUUAUACGUAAUUAUACCAGAAUAAAGGUCAGAAAUAGUUUUUCAACAUAUAUAUUAAAUCUUUAGCAUCCUUAACGUAAUUUCUAACUUCGCCACUGAACAACAUCAUGGCGCGGAAUCCGAUGAGGGGGGAGCGGUACUACUGCUGUUAGGAUGGACUUUCUUGAACAUUUUUAUGGGAGAAAAGCAACCACAUGAAGAAGAAGAUGAAGAUGUAUUUUUGGGCUUCUUAAUAAUUUCAUCAUGAUCUUUAGUAGUAUCCAUUUUCUUGAUGACUUUUUCCUUGAAUUGUUUCUUCAUGACAAAAGCUUCAGCAAUAUAAGCACUAGGAGUCGUCAUAUAUGCAAAACUCUAUGGAGAAACCUCAACCAACUGACUAAAGAUUGCUGAGAAAAGGGAGUAAUCCUUGAGGAAUAUAAGAAGAGGAAUUAAGUAGUGGGAUUGGAAUAUGUAGAGAAUAUGGGUAUUUAUAGAGGUUUAUUUAUUUCAUAGGCUUGGGGGAUACGUAAAUUAAAGAGUGACCCAUUUUUCCUUGUGUAUG